rnacentral:rRNA from 1 species
AUUGAACGCUGGCGGCAGGCCUAACACAUGCAAGUCGAGCGGAUGAGAGGAGCUUGCUCCUCGAUUCAGCGGCGGACGGGUGAGUAAUGCCUAGGAAUCUGCCUAGUAGUGGGGGACAACGUUUCGAAAGGAACGCUAAUACCGCAUACGUCCUACGGGAGAAAGUGGGGGAUCUUCGGACCUCACGCUAUUAGAUGAGCCUAGGUCGGAGUAGCUAGUUGGUAGGGUAAAGGCCUACCAAGGCGACGAUCCGUAACUGGUCUGAGAGGAUGAUCAGUCACACUGGAACUGAGACACGGUCCAGACUCCUACGGGAGGCAGCAGUGGGGAAUAUUGGACAAUGGGCGCAAGCCUGAUCCAGCCAUGCCGCGUGUGUGAAGAAGGCCCUCGGGUCGUAAAGCACUUUAAGUUGGGAGGAAGGGCUUACAGCGAAUACCUGUGAGUUUUGACGUUACCGACAGAAUAAGCACCGGCUAACUUCGUGCCAGCCGCCGCAGUAA